rnacentral:lncRNA from 1 species
AAGCGGCUGGUGUUCGAGGUCCCUUCAGGGAAACUGGUGCUGGAUCAGACGCUCAUCGACAGGAUCACAUGGGCCACAUGGACCAGGUAUGAGUGAAAUAUCAAAUAUAUCUGUCCUUCAGCUGUAGCACAGUGUGUGUGACUGCCCUCUAGUGUCCUGGGGGACGAGGUGCUGGGAAUCUGGCCCAGAAACGCGGACAAAGCCGAUGUGUUGUGCGCCUGUGUGUCGCACACCGGACUCAACAUCGCCACUGGAGACGACUUUGGCCUCAUCAAGCUGUUCGACUUUCCCUGCACUGACAAGUUUGCCAAACACAAGCGCUACCUCGGCCACUCUGCUCAUGUGACCAACAUCCGCUUCUCCAGCGAGGACAAGUUUGUGGUGAGCACCGGAGCUGACGACUGCAGCGUGUUUUUGUGGAAAUGCCUGUGAGCUGCAGACCACGUCGACGGGAAGCGCCUUAAAGCACCACAAGUGGAUCAGAGGAGCGUCUCCAGCCACGCGUUUACUCCAGCCACGUGUUUACCACACACAGGUCUGGCACUGGCCCGCGCUCCGCCAACGUUUCUUCUUCUGCCAAAUGAUUGCCACAGUCUCCACACCGGAGCCGGCAGGCCGAGAGGUCGCUAAACGGGACAGGAGCAAUGUUUCAGUUAUGAAUGCUUUAGAUACAUCGUCAUUAUUUAGUGUGCUUUAUGUUUGAGGUCUUUGUUUGAGGGGAGACACUGCAGGCUAAGCUCUUCUAUUUCAGCUUUCAGGUUUAGGGUCGGUUCGCUCUUUACACAACCUUCCACCUGGAAACUAGGACACAGCCAACACUGUUUUAUUAUUUCACUUAACAACUUAGAUUUCAAAGGCCCUUUUCUCCUCCGAAACAUCUCAACUUAAAGUAGCACUAGUUAUUUUAUUUAUUUAAUAUGUUAAAUAAUGCUUUAAACAUAUCAGUUUGAUCAGUGAUCUAAUUUUUAAGUUAAAUAGGCUCUGUGUUUUGGCUAACUUCCUGUCGGCCAGUCUAGGAUAAAGACUACUUCCCAUCCACAUUUUGACAUAAAUGAAAAACAUUAAAUGAGAUUUUUUUUUUUAAACAGAAGAAAACUUAAUUAAAUGUCCAGCCGAGUGCCAUUUCAUAAAAAUGUGUGAAGAUUAUGGUGCCAUUUUACCAUUUGUUAGCGUCAAAUUUACGUUCAUGGCGAAACCACUUACACAGAAGUAUUUACACCUUGAGUUAAGUUUUUUAACAUGUUGUAGGUGGUUAUCCAGCUGCUGCUUGUUUUCAGCCUUAUACUGUUAACAUUUUUAAAUGUGUUUAUUUCAGCGAGACACGGCUAACUCUCCAUAGGGAUGAACCAGGACAGGAAACAGUGUUAGCCUAGGAUGUUAGCAUCAUGUCGCUAUGAAACAUUUUCCUCUUAUUUUAAAAAUGUUCAAAUUGUUAUCUCUAAAUGUAUUUAAGUUAUUCGUAUUCUCCUGCAGUGUCUCACCUUCAAUUACAAGUUCUAAAGCAUAAGCGGCGUCGUCCUGAUUGUUUGGAUCGAUAACAUGCAUUUUUUGCCUUUACGUGCCUCCGUUAAGUUUUAUUUUUGUAAUUUUCCAUGACAUGUUUCACCACGCAGUUCUAAUUAUGCAUUUGAUAAUGAGGAGACUCUCGGUAAUGACAGUUUCAGAGACAGGACUCUGGACUUACACGUUUAGAAGAUGGCUUUUCGUACGGGAGCUGGAGAGGGACAUCUGAGGAGCCGCUCUCUGCUUGGACCAAGACCUUCCAUCCCAGAGCCGUGAAGUGCCUUUUGGAGUUUCCUGCCUAUGUUUGGUGUUAGUCCCGAUAGGUUGUGUUCACGUGAUGUCAUGUUGCAGAUGCUGACAGGCCAUUGGAAAGUAUUUCAAGUCAUUUGAUGAAUUG